GACGAACGCUGGCGGCGUGCUUAACACAUGCAAGUCGAGCGGUAAGGCCCUUUCGGGGGUACACGAGCGGCGAACGGGUGAGUAACACGUGGGUGACCUGCCCUUCAGCUCUGGGAUAAGCCGUGGGAAACCGGGUCUAAUACCGGAUAUGACUCCAUGACGCAUGUUGUGGGGUGGAAGCCUUGUGCGGCUGAGGAUGGGCCCGCGGCCUAUCAGCUUGUUGGUGGGGU
rnacentral:rRNA from 1 species